UACGUAGGGUGCGAGCGUUAAUCGGAAUUACUGGGCGUAAAGCGUGCGCAGGCGGUUUUGUAAGUCUGACGUGAAAUCCCCGGGCUUAACCUGGGAAUUGCGUUUGGAGACUGCAAGGCUGGAGUCUGGCAGAGGGGGGGUAGAAUUCCACGUGUAGCGGUGAAAUGCGUAGAGAUCAGCAGGAAUACCCGUGGCGAAGGCGGCCCCCUGGGCCGUACCUGACGCUGAGGAGCGAAAGCGUGGGGAGCGAACAGG
rnacentral:rRNA from 1 species